GGGCCCUGCAGCCCCCGGGCGAGGGGGGCUCGGGAGCUGGGAGCGUGCUGGGGGUGCUGGGCAUACUGGGGUGCUGGGGGUGCUGUCAGGCAUUGCACAGAUUGUCCACGUUCCUCCGAACCGCCGCUUCUGUCCUCCCUGGGGGCUGCCACUGCCGUCCUACUGCUUCAGGCCCAUCGAACAGGGCUUUUGGCUGGAAAAGUUUACUUUGGUUUUUUUAUUUUUAAUUUCACUUCCUACAUCCAUUUAAGUGAAAAAUUACGUAUUGUAUUUGCAUCGUUGUCAAGAAAAGGGGUGAGUUUAAAAAUAAAUGCGUGCCGCUCGCCACCUGUACUGGGCAAACUGGCUCUGCCGGCGCGGGGAGCCCCCCCGAGCGGGAGCAGCACGACGUGGGUGCUCGGGCCCGGCGCCCCCCGGCUCCCCCGCCCCGUGGUCUGGACGCGGUGGGGCGCAGGGGGCGGCGGCGGCUUCUGCCUGAGCGGCUCCCGGUGCGGGCGGGGGGGCUGCGGGGGGGCCGCUGCUGCACCUGCCGGCGGAGGGGGGGAGGGGGGGUCGCUCAGCAACGGCCGCGGGGCCGGGCCCAGUGUCGCGGCGCUGCCGGAGCAGGGCCCCCCCGCAUCGUUCCCCGCCGGUUGCUCGGGCGGCGUUUCUCCCCUCCCGGUGCCCGUGGCAAACUGGGCACGGCCGGGCCCCCGCCCUCCCGCCGUAGCGACGGCUCCAAACACGGCAGCGACCGCCGCCGCGCGGGGCUGUGCCGGGCCGGGGGGCUGAGGCCGGGCAUGGCGGGGUUCCGCUGCCCCCGGUGCCGCAUGGCGCUCGGCUCCCGCCCGCUGCUGCGGCUCCACGAGGAGCGGCUCUGCCCCGGGGCCCCCCCAGCCGCCACCUCCUGCCCGCCCGGGGGGGCCCCGCUGCCGGCGGGGGGGGACCCGGGCACGGCGGGGCGGCCGCAGGACACCCCGCCCCCCGCGCAGCAGGAGCCCCGGCAGGGCCCGGCCCCGGGGCACGGGCGGCAGCAGCCGGCGCUGCGGGAGGCCCAUGAGCGCCGCGUGUCCGAGAUCCGGGCCCGGACGCGGCGGCUGGAGCAGCAGAGGGAGGCGCUGUGCCGGAGGCUGGCGGCCCGGGCAGCCGCGACCCCCCGCCCCGAGCAGGGGGAAGUGGAGCGGAGCCGGGCCCUGCGGGACCAGGCCGGGCGGCUGCGAGCGGCCCACGGCGGGGCCGCGCCGUGCCUGGAGACCGCCCCCCCAGCCGGGCCGCUGGCGGCCGAGGCCAGGGCGCUGCGGCUGGCCUACCUGCGCGCCGGCGGGAGCGACCCCGCCAUCCUGGACCAGCUCCUCCAGCUCCAGGUGGAGGCCGCGCUGCUGGAGAAGGGACCCGCGGGGCUGCGCGGGGGCAGGCGGACGGGUGAGCCCCAGCCCCCGUUAGGGACCCUGGCUCCGUGGCCGGCAGCUGAGGCGCCCCCGGCUGUGCCGGCAGAGCCCCCCGGCGCGGGGGGCCGGGGCCUGGAUGCCGCGCUGCUGGCCGUGGAGCUGGAGAACCGGCGGCUGGAAGAUGAGCUCUUGGCGCUGAAGGUCAGGAGGGAGAGGAGAGCCGAUGCCGGCGUUAAGCGGGGAGAGUCACCGCAGCGGCACAACCGGGACAGCCAGCGGCCUGAGCACCAGCCCGGUGGGAUGCUUGGGGAGGGGGCUGCUGGGGGCGGGGGGGGGGGCGGUUAAACCCCGCGCCGAGUUGUUCCCGUCCGCCAGGCUCGCGGGCAGCCCAGCAGCACAUGGAGGAGCUGGCCCAGCUCCAGGCAGAGGUGGGGAUGCUGCGAUGCCACGCAGAGUGGAUGGGGCCACAGCUGCCCCCCGCCAUCCUCCCGCCCCCCGUGGCCCCCCCACUCCUGCCAGCCCUGGCCGCACCAGAGCUUUUUGCAGAGUCCCCCAGGCCAGCGCUGACAGGCAGCCCCGCAGCCCCCAGCCACCCCCGUGUGCCCCCCAGCCUCCCCCUUGCCCCCUUCAGGGCCCUGGAGGACCCUCCUCCUGCUCGGGAGCCCCCUGCACAGCACAAGCCUCGCCGAAGCCCUCGCUAGGGGAAGCCUGACCAGAGGCACUGACAGCUCAGCCCUGGGAAGCAGCAACACCCCCAGCAAGACUUCCUCCCCUCUGGUGUUGGCCACAUGCUAAAUAAAUCGCUUCGAUCUGUUGUUCUUCA